AACGAACGCUGGCGGCAGGCUUAACACAUGCAAGUCGAACGGUUGUAGCAAUACAGCAGUGGCGCACGGGUGAGUAACGCGUGGAUAUCUGCCUUUCGGUUCGGAAUAACUCCGGGAAACUGGAGCUAAUACCGGAUGGUUCCUGCGGGAUAAAGAUUUAUCGCCAAAAGAUGAGUCCGCGUACGAUUAGCUAGUUGGUGAGGUAAUGGCUCACCAAGGCGACGAUCGUUAGCUGGUCUGAGAGGACGAUCAGCCACACUGGGACUGAGACACGGCCCAGACUCCUACGGGAGGCAGCAGUGGGAAUAUUGGACAAUGGGGGCAACCCUGAUCCAGCCAUGCCGCGUGAGUGAUGAAGGCCUUCGGGUUGUAAAGCUCUUUUGGCGGGGACGAUGAUGACGGUACCCGCAGAAUAAGCCCCGGCUAACUUCGUGCCAGCAGCCGCGGU
rnacentral:rRNA from 1 species